GUAAAAAAAAAACAACUGAAAAAAGGAAGGUGAAUCAAUCUGUGCCCAGCCCUGGGGGUAACUGAUGAGGAGAUGGAAGGUGGGUGUGGAGAGCUACUCAUCCUGCGGCCAUCCAGGACAAGCCUCAAAAAUUGGGGUACUGUGAUUUUGGGAGGGAGACCAGAGAAGAUGCCAUUUUCAUCAUAUCACAUCAAGGGUAUCUACUGUCAAUGUGAUAUGACUGUUGAUGUUCACCUU